GAUGAACGCUGACAGAAUGCUUAACACAUGCAAGUCGAAGGGGAAGUGGUGCUUGCACCAUGGUAACCAUGGCGGACGGGGGAGUAACGCGUAAGGAACUUACCUGCGGGACCGGGAUAACAGCAGGAAACUGCUGACAAGACCGGAUAAGGUCAUUAAGCUGCAUAGCUUAGUGAUGAAAGGAGACGCCUGCGGAGAGCCUUGCGUCCUAUUAGCUAGUUGGAGGGGUAACGGCCCACCAAGGCGAAGAUAGGUAGCCGGCCUGAGAGGGUGGACGGCCACUAGGGGACUGAGAUACGGCCCUUACUCCUACGGGAGGCAGCAGUGGGGAAUAUUGGACAAUGGGGGCAACCCUGAUCCAGCAAUUCUGUGUGCACGAAGACGGUUUUCGGAUUGUAAAGUGCUUUCAGCAGGGAAGAAGGAAGUGACGGUACCUGCAGAAGAAGCGACGGCUAACUACGUG
rnacentral:rRNA from 1 species